rnacentral:rRNA from 1 species
AUGGAUAGAUUUUGGGACGGAUUAAACCGUGACAUUCAGGAUAUACUAAUUCAUGAAACAUGUUAUCCUAUGGACCAUUUGUUUCGUCUUGCUUACAAAGCUGAACAGGAGAUAACAAGACGUGUUGCCCACAAGACAAACAAGCGGAAGGUGCAAAUCCCAAGAGUUGCGACGGUUGUUCCUUCCACCACUGUGUCUCCUAUGAAAACAACAUCCAUUGUUGAGAGCACUACAUCACCUCCACCAUGUGCCGUGUCGCCACCUAGAGUGCCUACAUCAUCUCUGUUGAUCAUAAGGGGUAAUGCCAAAGGUACCGACCUUCCACCUCCACAUGAGUAUGAUGAAUGCCUUGUUAAUUUAAAUGAACCAUGCGAUGAGCUACCCACUACUUUGAUCACACCAGCUAUUUUAGAGGACAAUGUUCAUGAUUUGACUUUGCCAUGUGAUUAA